rnacentral:rRNA from 1 species
CGUGUAGGCGGCCCGGUAAGUCCGCUGUGAAAGUCGGGGGCUCAACCCUCGGAAGCCGGUGGAUACUGUCGGGCUAGAGUACGGAAGAGGCGAGUGGAAUUCCUGGUGUAGCGGUGAAAUGCGCAGAUAUCAGGAGGAACACCAAUUGCGAAGGCAGCUCGCUGGGACGUCACUGACGCUGAGACGCGAAAGCGUGGGGAGCAAACA